rnacentral:lncRNA from 1 species
AUUUAGUUGUAACUGUUGUUCUGGAACAUAACUCAGUAAUUUCAUAAAUACUACCACAGAAGCAAAGCCAACUGUGUUAGAAGACAUGUAAUUAAAUACUAUUUGUCUUCAUGUGUUAUAUGAAUGUAUAUGUACAAUAAACUUGAGACAGCUUUAAAUGCAGGAACCAUUUAAGAAUCCAGUUUUAGAGUGAAUUUAAUGCAAGUUUCUUGCUUUAAAUUACCCCACAAAACAUGUUUCCUAGGAGAUUGACUCGUACAUUCAGUUCCCUUUUCUCCAUCUUUCCUCUUGCUUCGCGGCCUUCACCUCAGUUGCAGGAGGUAUGUGUCUCUUCUUUUCCUCUUCGUCUGAUUUCUUCCAAUCAUAUACAUUUUCGACGACAACGAAAAAGAGAAACAGAAAA